UUGAUAGAAACCAAAGCAGAGGUAUAUCACUGUUAAUGAUAAAAUUGAAUUAACUUUUCCUAUCAAG
rnacentral:tRNA from 1 species